rnacentral:ncRNA from 1 species
CAAAAGCUUGGUCCUGACUUUACUAUCAAUUUUGACUAAAUUUAUACAUGCAAGUAUCCGCAUCCCUGUGAGAAUGCCCUACAACACCCAAUUUUCCGGGGAACGAGGAGCUGGUAUCAGGCACAACUCCCUGCGUUAGCCCACAACACCUUGCUUAGCCACACCUUCAAAGGGACUCAGCAGUAAUAAACAUUAAGCCAUAAGUGAAAACUUGACUUAGUUAGAGCCAAAUAGGGCCGGUAAAACUCGUGCCAGCCACCGCGGUUAUACGAGAGGCCCAAGUUGAUAGAACACCGGCGUAAAGAGUGGUUAAUAAAUACUUACUACUAAAGCCGAACAUCUUCAAAGCUGUUAUACGCACUUGAAGACAGGAAGACCCCCUACGAAAGUGACUUUAAACCUUAUGACCCCACGAAAGCUAAGACCCAAACUGGGAUUAGAUACCCCACUAUGCUUAGCCCUAAACACAAGCAGUAACCUUUACACCCACUGCUCGCCAGGGAACUACAAGCCCAAGCUUAAAACCCAAAGGACUUGGCGGUGCUUUAGUCCCACCUAGAGGAGCCUGUUCUAGAACCGAUAAUCCCCGUUCAACCUCACCCUCCCUUGCAUUGUCCCGCCUAUAUACCGCCGUCGUCAGCUUACCCUGUGAAGGGCCCAUAGUAAGCAAAAUUGGCACAACCCAAAACGUCAGGUCGAGGUGUAGCGCAUGAGAGGGGAAGAAAUGGGCUACAUUCACUGAUACAGUGAACCACGAACGACGCUUUGAAACAAGCAUCUGAAGGAGGAUUUAGCAGUAAGAAGAAAAAAUAGAGUGUUCCUCUGAAACUGGCCCUGAAGCGCGCACACACCGCCCGUCACUCUCCCCGAGCUAAACAACGCCCAAUAAAUAAAAACAAUACAACUGCAACAAAGGGGAGGCAAGUCGUAACAUGGUAAGUGUACCGGAAGGUGCACUUGGAAAAA